rnacentral:misc_RNA from 1 species
GAAAUGCGAUAAGUAAUGUGAAUUGCAGAAUUCAGUGAAUCAUCGAAUCUUUGAACGCACAUUGCGCCCCCUGGUAUUCCGGGGGGCAUGCCUGUUCGAGCGUCAUUUCACCACUCAAGCCUCGCUUGGUAUUGGGCAACGUGGUCCGCCGCGUGCCUCAAAUCGACCGGCUGGGUCUUCUGUCCCCUAAGCGUUGUGGAAACUAUUCGCUAAAGGGUGUUCGGGAGGCUACGCCGUAAAACAACCCCAUUUCUAAGGUUGACCUCGGAUCAGGUAGGGAUACCCGCUGAACUUAAGC